rnacentral:rRNA from 1 species
UACGUAGGUGGCAAGCGUUGUCCGGAAUUAUUGGGCGUAAAGGGCUCGCAGGCGGUUUCUUAAGUCUGAUGUGAAAGCCCCCGGCUCAACCGGGGAGGGUCAUUGGAAACUGGGAAACUUGAGUGCAGAAGAGGAGAGUGGAAUUCCACGUGUAGCGGUGAAAUGCGUAGAGAUGUGGAGGAAUACCAGUGGCGAAGGCGCCUUGCUGGACAGUGACUGACGCUGAGGCACGAAAGCGUGGGGAGCAAACAGGAUUAGAUACCCUGGUAGUCCACGCCGUAAACGAUGAGUGCUAAGUGUUAGGGGGUUUCCGCCCCUUAGUGCUGCAGCUAACGCAUUAAGCACUCCGCCUGGGGAGUACGGUCGCAAGACUGAA